GUAAAUUGCCCGAAUCCUGACACAGGGAGGUAGUGACAAGAAAUAACAAUACAGGGCUACUUCUAGUCUUGUAAUUGGAAUGAGUACAACUUACAUCUCUUCACGAGGAUCAAUUGGAGGGCAAGUCUGGUGCCAGCAGCCGCGGUAAUUCCAGCUCCAAUAGCGUAUAUUAAAGUUGUUGCAGUUAAAAAGCUCGUAGUCGGAUUUCGGGUCGGGCCGAGCGGUCUGCCGAUGGGUAUGCACUGUUCGGCGCGGCCUUCUUUCCGGAGACCGCGGCUACUCUUAACUGAGCGGGCGUGGGAGACGGAUCGUUUACUUUGAAAAAAUCAGAGUGUUUCAAGCAGGCAGCUCGCUCUUGCAUGGAUUAGCAUGGGAUAAUGAAAUAGGACUCUGGUGCUAUUUUGUUGGUUUCGAACACCGGAGUAAUGAUUAACAGGGACAGUCAGGGGCAC
rnacentral:rRNA from 1 species